UAGGGAAUCUUCGGCAAUGGACGGAAGUCUGACCGAGCAACGCCGCGUGAGUGAAGAAGGUUUUCGGAUCGUAAAGCUCUGUUGUAAGAGAAGAACGAGUGUGAGAGUGGAAAGUUCACACUGUGACGGUAUCUUACCAGAAAGGGACGGCUAACUACGUGCCAGCAGCCGCGGUAAUACGUAGGUCCCGAGCGUUGUCCGGAUUUAUUGGGCGUAAAGCGAGCGCAGGCGGUUAGAUAAGUCUGAAGUUAAAGGCUGUGGCUUAACCAUAGUAGGCUUUGGAAACUGUUUAACUUGAGUGCAAGAGGGGAGAGUGGAAUUCCAUGUGUAGCGGUGAAAUGCGUAGAUAUAUGGAGGAACACCGGUGGCGAAAGCGGCUCUCUGGCUUGUAACUGACGCUGAGGCUCGAAAGCGUGGGGAGCAAACAGGAUUAGAUACCCUGGUAGUCCACGCUGUAAACGAUGAGUGCUAGUGUUAGACCCUUUCCGGGGUUUAGUGCCGUAGCUAACGCAUUAAGCACUCCGCCUGGGGAGUACGACCGCAAGUG
rnacentral:rRNA from 1 species